GGAAAUAAAUAGAAGAGGAUCGAAGAAGGAGAUAAGAGAAGAAAUUAUCCUCACGAGAACGAGGAAGUUGAGAAAGACAGAGAAAGAGAGAUGAGAGAAAGAGAGAGAGAGAGAGAGAGAG